GCAGGAAUAAAAAAGGCACAAGAAGAAGAACCAGUGCGAAGAAAAUACGAAAAAACUAUUCAUACAUAUAUAUAUUAGUGUGAUUUGCAGUAGAGAGCAAGCAGGAAAGCGAGGCCACACCGGAGCUACUCCUCGGCGCCAUGCAAAGCCAGAGAAUGCUCGACAACAGACCGCCGAGGCACAGAGGUACUUCAGGGUACACAUGCAUAUUCUCCCUAGUUUAGGGUGCAGUAGGAAUUGUCAUCCGAACAAAAGAGAGCGACUGCAAACCAUGCAUACCACCUUCGACGCACCUGGUCUGACACGGGUUCCCGCUAUCGCUGCUGCUGAACCCCACCAAACCCCUCCCCCGUUCAGCAUGAGCUGGGUGCACCCCCGUGGUGCAGUCAAGUUCUAGUAUUCGACGCAGGCAUUUCGUCCUAGCUGUCACCCAUCUUCUCAGACGCAGUCGCCUUAACGCGGAGAGAAACGCAGCGUCCCGUGUUGCUCCAUGAGACUCCAGCUGAGAAACCAACCCAGAUAACUGCCUGGCCCUACAUCUGGACCCGAAGAUGUCUAGCAAUAUCGUCGCGACUUCCAGCCCUAGCCGUAUCGAGAGAUCUGCGAACCUGUGAUGCAGGUAAAACGAAAAUCAACCCAGAUUCCCGUCGUGCUGGUUCACUGACCCUCUUACCAGAUAGAUGGUUUCU
rnacentral:lncRNA from 1 species